CCUACGGGAUGCAGCAGUAGGGAAUAUUCCGCAAUGAGCGAAACCCUGAUGCAGCGACACCGCGUGCAUGAAGAAGUAUUUCGGUAUGUAAAGCGCUGUCAGCAGGGAAGAUAAUGUCGAUACCUAACUGAUAAGCCCCUGCUAACUACGUGCCAGCAACCGCGGUAAUACGUAGUGCGCAAGGCUGAUCCGGUUUUAAUGGGUGGAACGUGUGCGGAGGUGGCAGGGCAUGGCAGAUGUGAAAGCCCUGGGGCCAACCCCGGUACUGCAUUUGAUACUGGUCAGCUGGAGUGCAGGAGAGGUAAGCGGAAUUCUUAGUGUAGCGGUGGAAUGCGUAGAUAUUAGGAGGAACACCAGUGGCGAAGGCGGUUUACUGGACUGUAACUGACACUGAGGCACGAAAGCGUGGGGAGCAAACAGGAUUAGAUACCCGUGUAGUC
rnacentral:rRNA from 1 species